UUGCAGUCUGCCGUCAGGCUGAGGACAGGAUCGUCCCUUUGUCUGUGCCUUGGUAGAGGACCUUCAGCCUCUGCAGGAACACACUCCUCCAGUCCGACCUCUCGAUGAAGACAACAGAUGAAGAUACUAAUGUAAAUAUGAAGAGACGACAUGGCAGAGUACUACAGAAUAUUAAGGAUGUGUCUGGGAGUUUGAAUUGACUCGGGAGUUUUCCACACAGUGGAAGUCAUCAGGUGUGCUAAAAGUCUGCUCUCCGCGGCUGAGUGCAUCUCAGCUGCCACCACCACUGCCACUGCCACCAUUCCUCACUGAUAAGAAACCCAGCAGCGCUCCAGGAGUCCCCGGGCUUUCCACAUCGGACUGGGACCUCUGCCAUCCAGUCUCAGGGACUGAGCAGGCUGUGGAGACCCCUGCUGCGGGACUACCCAGCAAUGUCAGCCGAUGAAACAAGUCCCCUUUGUUGAUAUAUAGUGAGUCUAUCAGUUCUGUUCCUCUUCUAUUCCCCAUUCUGCAGCAGCACUUCACAAAAUGGUAAAACCUAAUCUUCCCAUCAGUAAAAACAACCUGAGCUGGGGAACCAGAG